rnacentral:rRNA from 1 species
UAAAGUUUGAUUCUUGCUUAAAAUUAUUGCUUUAUGUUAAAAAUGUAUAUGGAAACUUCAGUUUAAUUAAAUUUAAAAAAUAAAAUUUUCAAUAUAUAAUAUUAGACAAUUAGUUAUAGCUAGAUCUGGUUAUCAUAAUUUCUCUGGCAAAAUCUUGUGCCAGCCGCCGCGGUUAUACUUUAAGAGAUAGUAAUAAAAAAUUGGUUAUAGUUAACUUUAAUAAAAAAUUAAUCGUGUAGACAAAGGGUGAAAUCAGAUUGUAUAAUGUUAUUAAUUUUAUUACACAC